ACGAUCCCAUUGGUACGGUAUUUUUAACCAUGUAAAUAUCAAGCUCCUCCUACAAAACACUACAUUCGGUCGAAUCGAGUUGUGUUGAGAACAAACGAUCGUGUGAGCCGCAGAAGCAUAACUGAAUUUCGAAUGGGCUGUAAACAUCCUGCUUCAAGCAUUCAAAGUGAAGACUAAGAAUCAGAGGCAACUGCCAUCUUUUGGAAAGUAGAGAGUGCAAAAAUGUGGCGUUCAAUUCCAAAAUAUUUGAUCAAUAACAUAAUAUUUCGAAACAGAGUGCAAAGGCUACCAGCUGGACAGAACUCUCUGUGUCGUCCCAAACAAGAAGUUUCUCUUCAAAUUUACAGACACCACACACCCACAGCUUUUAAAAUAAGUAUGCCAAUUUCAGUUAUCGAAAAAGUAGAGGCCUUUGAUAAACAGCGGUGCAUCACUGUUCACUGGGAUGAUGGAAACCACAGCCAGUAUCCUUACGUGUGGUUAAGGGAUAACUGCCAAUGUCCCCAGUGCUUCCUGUCUUCAGCUAAAGCAAGAAAGCUUCCAAUAGAAGAUUUGGAUGUGAACAUUUCUGUAGAGAAAGUCAUUUCAACUGAUUCAAAGAUUCAGUUGUA